GCCAAAUGAAGGUCUAGUAUGAAUGAAUAAUUGGGUAACAACUGUCUUAAUAUAUUUUUAUGAAUUUAGUAAGCAAGUGAAAAUACUUGCUCAUAUACAAAAGACGAGAAGACCCUAGAAACUUACGUGUAUUUUUGUUGGGGCGACAGGAUUACAAUUAACUAAUCUUAUUUUACUAGACGUAAAGCAGGAAGAUUAAGUUACUCUAGGGGAUAACAGCAA
rnacentral:rRNA from 1 species